rnacentral:lncRNA from 1 species
AUUCAUUGAGAAUCCAUAAUUCGAAGGCAGUUGCUUGCAGUUCCUAUCACUUCCACUGGAUGUCAACAGUCUUUAGAAAUUGGUUGAUGUUUUUCCUUUGUGUAAUGUAGAAGUAGCCCUGUUCAGAAUGAGGCUCAAGGGAAGUAUGCUGUUUGAUAGAGGCGCGUGACCUGAAAAGCAUGCUCCACUUUGUUUUCCUCCGGUAUUGAACACAGUUUAUCCCAUCUUAAAUUUUCAAUUAUUUAUGUAAAAAAAAGACCUAAAGUUGUAUUAGGAAAGUUGUUUGAAAUGUUUGGACAAAGAUUACAGAGGACCUGAGCCCUAGGACCAUGCCUCAGGACUACCUGGCCUGAUGACUCCUUGCAGUCCACCUGGUCGUGCUGCUGCUCCAGUUUCAACUGUUCUGCCUGCGGCUAUGGAACCCUGACCUGUUCACCGGAUGUGCUACCUUGUCCCAGACCUGCUGUUUUCGACUCUCUCUCUACCGCACCUGCUGUCUCUAACUCUGAAUGCUUGGCUAUGAAAAGCCAACUGACAUUUACUACUGAGAUUUCCCUCUUCUGCAGGGCCAAGAGGACCUGGGCUUGAUGUCCGUGAUCCUCCACAGAGGCGAGGAGCACAAAUAUUGUCAAGCAAUGGGGAAGACCACAUUGAGAACCUUAAUUGUCUGUGUAUCCACAGUGUAUAGUGCUUUAGGUUGUGUAGUGACAGGCCCAGACCAGGAGGUUCCUGUGGGCUCUAAUGUCCGACUGCCCUGCAACCUCACUCAGUGUUUCAAAAGUCUGGGACAUCACAAAAUCAGUGUGGAGUGGGAGUUCACUGACAAGGGGUCAAUGGAUAACAGCCAGCACUAUCUCAUAUACCACUACCAUAACCAAACUGUCACCGUUGAUCCCAGAGUGUAUUUGGUUGGGACCAUCUCUGAAGGUGACUUCUCGCUCCUGCUGCUGUCAGUGACAGUCCAAUGUAGUGGCACCUACAUGUGUCGCCUGGGUCCUGCACCCGGCUAUCCAGACAUCCAUCAGAGUCACACACAGGUCACAGUGGUGGAAAGAUCAGGGCAGCACAGGAGUUUCCCAGGAGAUUUCCAUAAACCUGAUGUAACCCAUCCUGAUUGGCUGUUGCCUCUCUGCUGCGGG